UACGUAGGGUGCAAGCGUUGUCCGGAAUUAUUGGGCGUAAAGAGUUCGUAGGCGGUUUGUCGCGUCUGCUGUGAAAACUCAGGGCUUAACCCUGAGCUUGCAGUGGGUACGGGCAGACUAGAGUGCGGUAGGGGAGACUGGAAUUCCUGGUGUAGCGGUGAAAUGCGCAGAUAUCAGGAGGAACACCGGUGGCGAAGGCAGGUCUCUGGGCCGAUACUGACGCUGAGGAGCGAAAGCGUGGGGAGCGAACAGG
rnacentral:rRNA from 1 species